GGCGAGCCUGAUGCAGCAACGCCGCGUGAGGGAUGACGGCCUUCGGGUUGUAAACCUCUUUUAGUAGGGAAGAAGCGAAAGUGACGGUACCUGCAGAAAAAGCACCGGCUAACUACGUGCCAGCAGCCGCGGUAAUACGUAGGGUGCAAGCGUUGUCCGGAAUUAUUGGGCGUAAAGAGCUCGUAGGCGGUUUGUCGCGUCUGCUGUGAAAUCCCGAGGCUCAACCUCGGGCUUGCAGUGGGUACGGGCAGACUAGAGUGCGGUAGGGGAGAUUGGAAUUCCUGGUGUAGCGGUGGAAUGCGCAGAUAUCAGGAGGAACACCGAUGGCGAAGGCAGAUCUCUGGGCCGUAACUGACGCUGAGGAGCGAAAGCGUGGGGAGCGAACAGGAUUAGAUACCGUGUAGUCCA
rnacentral:rRNA from 1 species